ACGGAAGGCAGCAGUGAGGAAUAUUGGUCAAUGGGCGGAAGCCUGAACCAGCCAAGUCGCGUGAGGGACGACGGUCCUAUGGAUUGUAAACCUCUUUAGCCAGGGAGCAAUAAGCGCUAUGUAUAGCGUGAUGAGAGUACCUGGAGAAUAAGGAUCGGCUAACUCCGUGCCAGCAGCCGCGGUAAUACGGAGGAUCCGAGCGUUAUCCGGAUUUAUUGGGUUUAAAGGGUGCGCAGGCGGUCUUUUAAGUCAGUGGUCAAAUCGUGGUGCUCAACGCCAUCCCGCCAUUGAUACUGGAGGACUUGAUUCCGGUCGAGGCAGGCGGAAUUCGUAGUGUAGCGGUGAAAUGCAUAGAUAUUACGAAGAACUCCGAUUGCGUAGGCAGCUUACCAGGCCGGCAAUGACGCUCAUGCACGAAAGUGCGGGGAUCGAACAGGAUUAGAUACCCUGGUA
rnacentral:rRNA from 1 species